AUUGAACGCUGGCGGAAUGCUUUACACAUGCAAGUCGAACGGCAGCACGGGGCAACCUGGUGGCGAGUGGCGAACGGGUGAGUAAUACAUCGGAACGUGCCCAAUCGUGGGGGAUAACGUAGCGAAAGUUACGCUAAUACCGCAUACGAUCUACGGAUGAAAGCGGGGGAUCGCAAGACCUCGCGCGAGUGGAGCGGCCGAUGUCAGAUUAGGUAGUUGGUGGGGUAAAGGCUCACCAAGCCAACGAUCUGUAGCUGGUCUGAGAGGACGACCAGCCACACUGGAACUGAGACACGGUCCAGACUCCUACGGGAGGCAGCAGUGGGGAAUCUUAGACAAUGGGCGCAAGCCUGAUCUAGCCAUGCCGCGUGAGUGAAGAAGGCCUUCGGGUUGUAAAGCUCUUUUGUCCGGGAGCAAGUCCUACUGGCUAAUAUCUAGUGGGGAUGAGAGUACUGGAAGAAUAAGCACCGGCUAACUACGUGCC
rnacentral:rRNA from 1 species